CUCAUGAUCCAAGGAACCUUACUCCAAGAGAAGAGGCGAACAACCAAUACAAUCAUUCCGCAUUGUUCAUCCUUCAAUCCGCGGUUCCACCAGAAGAUCUUCCUCACCGGCGGCCGUUCACUCGUGCAAAAGAGUGUUGGGUGGACAUCAUGGUGCUAUACAAGGGAAGCUCAAGCAUUCUAUGAUCAAACUUUGAAGUGGUCCUUGAUCAAGCCGAUGACUUAGUGAUGCUAGAAGAUGAGGACCCGUGUGAUCUCUAUCGGCGGGUGAUUGCCCUCGUUGUUGCUCCAAGAUCAUGGGAACAAAGAUACAUAUGACACGUGGAUCAAGCACAA
rnacentral:lncRNA from 1 species